UACGUAGGGGGCUAGCGUUGUCCGGAUUUAUUGGGCGUAAAGAGCUCGUAGGCGGUGUGUCGCGUCGGCCGUGAAAACCUGUGGCUUAACUAUGGGCUUGCGGUCGAUACGGGCAUCACUGGAGUUCGGCAGGGGAGACUGGAAUUCCUGGUGUAGCGGUGAAAUGCGCAGAUAUCAGGAGGAACACCGGUGGCGAAGGCGGGUCUCUGGGCCGAUACUGACGCUGAGGAGCGAAAGCGUGGGGAGCGAACAGG
rnacentral:rRNA from 1 species